CGGGCGGCUCUUCUCAUAACCUCCCUCCUGCCUGCUCCCGGGGGCCACUCCCACCCUCCCGUCCUGCUCUGCCAGGGACAUGACAGUGGCUCCCAGUUUACAAAAUGAAACCCCGUGUGCCCAGGCGAAGGUUACUAAAGAAAUAAGCAGUCGUGGCUUUCUCCACCCACCUGUACAUGAGGGCCAAGGAUGAAGACAGCGUGGACGGGGGAGGGCUGAGCUCAGCGCAUUGCGUAGAAGCAGAAUGUCAUUUGAGAACUUCCCUGGAGAAUUUCCUGAGAAGAAAACUGCCGAAGUUGUGCGGGGUUUUCUUCCCCCUUCCACUACAGGAGAGGAAAAGAGGAACUUCCCGUAUCUCAGGCUGGCUAAGGGAGGCCGCAGAGGGACCCUUGGGAAGCGCGAGACCUCAAGAUGUCGAAGGAGGAAGAGAGGCGUUUUCACGGCUCAACUGUCUGCAGUUCCAACCAAAGCCACAGGGAGGCGCAGGCGGGCCGAGCUGUCCAGGAAGGAGCAGCGCAGCAGGUUCAGGCUGGAGCGGCGGCCAGGUGCGGGUUCCCGAGCGCUCCGGCCGGGCGCGCGGUCCCGAGGUCCCCGGGAGCCUCCUCCAGCAUCAUGCGACUGCAGCUCAAACUCCAGGGAGCUUCCCCGGGCUCCCUCCCAAAGGGCACCCUCAGCCCCAGGGGAGGAGAGGACGCAGGCACCAGCCAACAGGGACACAGCCUGCAGAGGGGUCUGCAGACGGAAGCUACCCUUCUGGGGGUGAGUCCUGCUUGGCUCGGACGGCGGCGGAAGUGCGCGGGGCAGGUUUCGGGAUACAGACCCACUGGGCAUGGGCCAGAGGAGCUGUGCCUUCGGAUCCCAGACUCAUCUGCACACGAAACUGGGCUUCCGGGAAAACCGUCACCUCCUCCAGGCUUGCUGUGAACUAGUUAAACCCGCGAGGCCGGUCCCACCGGGGCGCUGCAGUUAGCCACCGAGUCCCUCCUGGUUGUCUUAGAGCUGCAGAGAUUUGGGAUUAAACCACUUGACUUUACUUGUUACAGGUCUUCUGAAUUUGAGUUUAUGUUUCAUUUUGAGAUGAGGCGAUCUAGAAUAAUCUCACUGUGCUUUUUCCUUCUCCCCGUCCACGCGAGUAACAUAAGACACCCAAGGGCCCUGCGCCCUGGCCCCUCGCCUGCAUGGCUUUAUUCCCAGGAGGUUCUGACUCCUUUUCAGACCAACUCCUGCUCCCUCCCAACUCUGCCUCCUGGAAUUCAGGGCAGUCAACAGCAGGAAGCCUCCUUCCAGCCUCGGGCUUUUCCUGGAUGACCCAGUCCCUGUCGGAGGUCCCGCUCCCGCGGGCACUGCCCCUGCAGCCCACCCGCACCGGGGCACGGAAGCGAGGCUGCGUUCCCUCUGCGCCUAAUGAUAUUUUCAG
rnacentral:lncRNA from 1 species